rnacentral:rRNA from 1 species
CCUACGGGACGCAGCAGUGGGGGAUAUUGCACAAUGGGGGGAACCCUGAUGCAGCGACGCCGCGUGGGCGAUGGAGUACUUCGGUAUGUAAAGCCCUAUCAGCAGGGAAGAAAAUGACGGUACCUGACUAAGAAGCCCCGGCUAACUACGUGCCAGCAGCCGCGGUAAUACGUAGGGGGCAAGCGUUAUCCGGAUUUACUGGGUGUAAGGGAGCGUAGACGGCCAGACAAGUCUGAAGUGAAAAUCCAGCGCUUAACGUUGGAAGUGCUUUGGAAACUGCCGGGCUAGAGUGCAGGAGGGGCAGG